AUCCGCUCCGGGCGCUGCCGCCGGAAGGGCCAGCGACGGAGGGUCUCAGAUGGCGGGGCUGGAGGCCCACCUGGGCUCUCGGGCUGGCGAGUCCCGUUGGGGAGCCCUUGUGCCUGCUAGGAUAUUUAGCAGAUGCCAGGCGGCCAGAAACGUCCUCACUUUUCUCCCUCGGCCCUCUGGGGAACCGCCGUGAGCGUUUCCCACGGACACAAACUUAACAGGCCCAGAACGUCCAGGGAGGACGCGUUGUGAACCUCAAAGAGCCCACUUACGUGACCGACAGCACCAGGCCGACGGGCACUCGCUGAACUGCUGGCCCGGAGCAGCACAGCUCUUAAGUGGGCAGUGGCAUCUUUUAUACAAAUAAAGUAAGGUGGCCCCACGUCCCUAAAACAACAGCUUGCUGAAGAGAGAUCGCAAAGCAUCCCCCACUCCAGCUCGGGUCUGACUCCAAAGCCCUUCUGCUUUAGAAAGUGUGACUAUUUCUGCUGUAGAAAACCGGUAUCUAGGCCGGGCGCGGUGGCUCACGCCUGUAAUCCCAGCACUUGGGAGGCCGAGAUCUAUUGAAAACAGCUGGGCACCGUGGCUCACACCUGGAAUCCCAGCUGAGGCAGGAGGCUCCCUUGAGCCCAGGAAUUGAAGGGUGCAGUAAGCUAUGAUUGUGUCACUGCACUCCAGCCUGGGAAACAGUGCAAGACCUUGCAUAUUAGAAAAAAGUUUCUGGCAAGUAUACCAAAAGUCUUAACUAAGAUUUGCUAAAUGAAUAUUAAUUAAAUAACCUAACGGCAAGUACAUGGGGAAGUUGGAGGAUCUAGAACCUGACUUCCUUCACACCAACUAUUCCUGCAUUUAGCAGGUAAAAGCCUGAUAGCAUGAUUGAGUGGAAACAUGAAGGGACAAGGGUUUGGCUAGUUAUGUUUAUAAAAAGUCAACAUAGGAAUUGAGUCAAGAUACCAGAAACUCUACUUAUAGUAAGAUCCCAAUUUGCAAAACCGGAGAAUGGAAGCGUACAGAACUGUACCUUCUCCUCAAUUUUGCUGUGAAUGUAAACUUCCUCUAACACAUAAAAUGUAUUUUAAAGAAAAAAA
rnacentral:lncRNA from 1 species